rnacentral:lncRNA from 1 species
UCACUGCCAGAGGAACUUGCUUGCAUUUUGCCACUAUUUCUUUCCCAAUUCCAACCAAAUUUGGAUUCAACUCCAUUUGCCCUUCCUUGAAUGCACACUUGUAAAACAACGACAGACAGUCCUCCUGCCCAAGAAGACUUAGGUUGUACGCAGUAACAGUACCCAUAAUCUCAGCAACACGUUGACUACGGGUAGUUACUAUAAUCUUACUUCCAUCAGCACCUUUUGAUAACGAAGGCUUCAACAAGAACCAUUUUGUAGCAUCUUCAUUCCAAACAUCAUCCAAAAGAAGCAAGUAUUUCCUACCAUUCAGAAUCGCUCCAAGUUUUUUUUUAAGUUCACCCUCAUCCAAAUCCGCACAUCUUUCCCCAGUUGCAGAUUUAAUAAUCAUUUGUAUCACAUGUUUCAAGGAAAAAUCAUCUGAAACACAUGCCUCCAUCUUCAGUUCAAAAUGACUUUUUACAUUUUCAGCAUCACAUACCGAUUUGGCAAGAGAUGUCUUCCCCAAGCCUCCCAUUCCUACUAUCGGAAGGACAAAGGGAUGUGCAUCAUCAACCUUAGAAGGUGCUGCUAAAAGGUUGAUGAUGCGUUCUUUGUCUUUGUCUCUUCCGAUAAGACCGGAAAAGCUCUCCAAGGAUCGGUUCAUCUCUGUUUCCUCAUGCAAGACAUGACCACAAUCAAUAGGCUGCUCGCUGAGGUUGAACUCAGACUUAAGAGCUGAAAUCUCAGCUAGUCUUUCUAUGAUGCUCUUUAUCUUAUGACCCAUUCUUAAACGGAAUGCAAUCUUAUUAGAGCUUGAAAAGAAGCGCCGUACCUUUCUGCUGGUGCUCCCUGUUGUUUUGACCACCUGCCUUCGCAAAGUUUCGCACUCGAUUUCGUCCAGCACGUCCUCUGCAUCAUACAUGACUUCUCUGAGAUCGUUGAGCCAGAUCCGAAUCUUGUCAUUCCUUGAUUGUUUCUGCUCAGCAUCGGACAGCACUGCGUUGAUGGCUUUCAAUCUCUUUUCAAGACGAGCAAUGUCAGCUUCAAGUCCCCAUGCCAAACAAAAUUCUUGACCAGCAAAAGAGCCUAACUUCCCUAGAAGGGAUUGUGCAAUGGUGGAUGCAAAAGCUCCUGCCAUUUUCUUUUUGAGUGGAGAGAGGAGAAUUGGUUGACAGGAAAAAUGAUUGAUACGAGAGUGAGGUUAUGUUUUCAGAAUGGCAAACUUCUUGAUUUCUAGCUACGAGUAUGCAUGUAAAGGCAACACAAACGCCUGUAAUUUUUGUUCCUGACAUUCCCUUAUUCUUUCAUUUAUCUCUUACUUUGGAAACAAUCUUCGUAAUUAGAAUCUAUCCCUUACUUGGAACUUCCUAAGAAGUAAGCACAAUAGCAUAAACAACCUUUGUAGAAAAGCAAGUGAUCUCUCUCUCAAAAUCUGAGAUGAUCAUGACGUUUUGAAGAUGAUAUGGUGAUGAUGUAUUGUUAAUUAAUUUCAGUUAUGUAUAUAUGCAUGUAUGAUCAAAUUACAACCUAAUCAAUCAAAAAGAAUUUUGAACUACACUUAAUUUUAAAUUAAAUAAGAUUAUAAAGAAUUUAAACAACAUAAAUUUGUGAUUUAACAUUGAAAUGGAAGAAUAAACAAGAGUAAAAUAAUUUUGAAUUAAAAAAAAAAUGAAUGUCACGAAAACAAAAAAUUCCCAUCCUUGAAAUUCCUUACCCCUUCCUCCUCGGGUUAACACUUAAAACCAUUUUUAAAUGCUAACCUCUCUUAAAUUCCCUCGUCCUAAAAAAUCAUCAAAAACAUUCCUUCAAGUCCAAUAUUCUUUGAAUGAGAAAAACAGAUAUGAAAGAUAGGUCCUUAAUAUCAUUAAAAAUAAUAAAGCAAUAUUGGUUUAAAUAAAAGUAGGUCAUAACAUAUACAAUAAUUGAGAUAGAAAUUAAGGUUUUUGCUGAAAAGUAUUUUUUUAAAGUGGUUUUAUGGAAAAAUAUUUCUAAAAAAUAGAUUAUUUUUUUAUAUAUUUGAUGGUGAUAUAAAAAAUAAAUUGAAAAAUAAUUUUUAAUAUUUCAUUAUGUUAUGAAAAAUAAACUAAAAAAAUAACAUAUACAAUAAUUAAGAUUUUUAUUUUAUUUUAUUCAAUGUUAAGUGUCCUUGAGAUAGAUUAUGUAUCCAUUGAAUUGAAGUUAAGGUUUUUGCUGAAAAGUUUUUUUUUAAAAAAAGUGAUUUUUAUGAAAAAACAUUUAUGAAAAAUAGAUUAUUUUUUUAUAUUUGAUGAUGAUAUAAAAAAUAAAUUGAAAAACAUUUUUUAGUAAGAUUUUUUUUUAGUUUAAUGUGGGUGUCCGGGUCAGCUUGCGCGUACCUCGACUAAUUCCACGGGCCUUGAAGUUAACGACCAUGUAAACCUCCAGUGGACAUCAUAUGAGCAAUCACAGGGCUCGAACCUAAGACCACAGAGAAAGCAAAUCUCUUGGUUCCAAGCUCUUAUCACUGGACCAUCACUUAAAUGGUUGAAUUUUGUUUAUUUAGGUGAUGGAGUAUUCAUGUAAUUGACUUUUCAGCAUGCAUAUAACGUGUUGAGGUUCAAGUGAUGAAACACAUGGACCUGCGAGGGUCCCUUUGCUUUUAUACAAGUCAAUGUACCUUGUUACAAAGAAAAGCUAAAUGACAUGUGACAAGUAUUGUAGUUUUUUUUAUAAACUGUCAUAAUAUUUUUUUAUAUAUGGUUUUUUUUUUGUUUUUUUAUGAUUUUUUAAAAAUUAUUUUUGCUAAUUUUAUUUUUUAAUAUUGAGAUGGUUCAGAAUUUAAUUUUAUAUUUUUUUAUUUUUAUUUUUUUUUAUUAUAAGAUUAGCAUGGUUUGUAGGUUUAUCAAUGUAUCACAAGUUGUCUCACUUUAUAGCUUUGGUGAGUUUUUAAUUGAACUUGAUUUUUUUAUACUAUUUUUUUUAUCAUAUUGUUAAAAAAAUAGUUUUAGAAAAAAACUAUGUUAUUAAAUUUUAUGAAGUAACAAAAAUUAAAGGAUAUAAGGGAAAUCAUUGUUCUCCCAACUGCACUGUGGAUUGCAAUAGAAAUCCAUAGUAUUUUGCUUUCUUUUUUCUUUUGCUUUUUAUUUUUGAAUUUUUGUUAUGAUUUUUUUUCAAAUCUAUUUUUGUUGAUUUCAUCUUUUAAAAUUAACAUUGUUAAGAAUUUAGCUUCGUAAUUUGCUUCUUUUUAUUUUUUUAUACGAGGUUAACAUUGUUUAUGAGUUUGCCCCGGUUUAGAGUUUGGUGGGUUGUAUUUUUUUUUUAAUUGAACUUAACUUUUUUAUUGUCUAUUUUUUUUCUCAUAUAGUUAAAAAAUAGUUUUAGAGAAAAUUCAUGUUAUUAAACUUUAUAAAAUAACAAAAAUUAAUGGGUGUAAGGAAACCAUUGUUCACCCAUACAUAUUGCACUAUGAAUGACAAUAGUAACUCAUGGUGUUUUGCUUUCUUUCUUUUUUUCUUUAUGUUUUCUAAUUUUUGUCAUGAUUGUUUUUUUAAAUUUUGUUUUUGUCGAUUUUAUCUUUUAAUAUUGGGAUGGUUAAGAAUUUGACUUUAUUGUUUGUUUCUUUUUAUUUAUCUUUCUAUAAGGUUAGCAUGAUUUACGGGUUUGCUAGGGUAACCCUGGUUGCCCUGGUUUACGAGUUUGGUGGAGUGUUUUUUUUUAAUUGAACUUGAUUUUUUUUAUCAUCUAUUUUCUUCUCACAUAGUUAAAAAAAAUAGUUUCAAAAAAAAUUAUAUUAUUAAACUUUAUAAAAUUCAUGGGCCUAUUCACAGGUUUGGUUGAUUGAUUUGGUUCGCGGGUCUAGCAAGUUUAACUUUUUUAAAUUAGAUUUUUUUUCAUCCUUAGAUACUAAAUUAAUUGGAAAUUUAGUUUCAUAAUUGGUUUCGUUUUGCUGUUUAUGAGGUUAUCAUAAUCUAGAAAACAUCUCAGUAUUGGGAUUAUGUUUGAUUUUAUUGUGAUGUUUUGAAAUUUAAUGAGUAGGUAAAAGGCAAUAAAGCCCUUGAAGGCUAAAAAUGAGUAUAAAUGAAUAAGGGGUAUUGUAGUAAUUGAACAAAGAGUUGAUAAAUAUAAAUAGAAAAGAAAAUAGAAGAAGAGAGCUGUGUUUUAAGAGUGAAAACUGACGGGAGAAGAGAAGAAAAAGGGAGGAAGAAGAAGAGAAAAGAAGGAAAGAUAAGGAAAGGAGAAGAGAAUUGGAGGAAAUAAGUUUAAAGGUAAGAUUAUGUAUAAAUGUGUGUUCUUUAAGCUUUAAGUUCUGUUUUGAUAAAUGUUAGGGUUUUGAAUAUUGUGUUUUGAGUUUGAUUGAUGAAUUAAUUGGAAGGUUAUGGGUUGCUUGUUGUGGGUAAUUGGUUAAUUAGUUGAUUGUGAGAGAUUGAAGGUAAAGAUGAUGAUUUUGAGUUAUGAUUUUAUUUGAAUGGUGAAAUUGUGUUUGAGAUACAGGAGAUGACAAUAGGUAAUCUGUAAAAUUCUGGGUUUGAGGUUGAAGAUGAUGAAAAUUCAAUUUGGUCCCUCAAUUUGUGAAAUUACAGUUUAGUCCCUAAACUUUGGUAAAAUUAUAAUUUGACCUCUAAUUGUAUUUUGAGAUUCUGGACAGUGUUAUUAUGAGGUUAAGGAUGAUGAAUCUGAGUUUGAUAAUUGAUUUGGAAUAUAUUCAGAUUGGUCCCUCAAUUUUGGGAAGUUUAAUGUUGACAUAGGGAAGCACUCACAUUAAUAUCAACUUUUAUAUAUAUAUAUAUAUAUAUAUAUAUAUAUAUAUAUAUAUAUAUAUAUAUGUUAAGCAUAAUUAUUUAAAUGAUCACACACAAUAUUUUAAAUAAGAUACAAAGGCAAGCCAAUAAUUCAGAACAACCAAAUGUUUAUCAAUUUAUUAAUGACAAAUCAUCACACACAACUAGCCAAGGAAAUUACACAAAGCAGACACUCCGAGCCUUAAGCUGAUCUUCGUAAGUGACAAACUGUUGUAGAAGAUCUCAGCCGACAGGACCCUCACAGUAGUAAACCUGAAGAAAUUAGACAAACAUAGAAUUUAAUAAUGAUGUAUUAAGUUCAAAGAAAUUUAAAUUGCUGAAUGAAUUAGUUAACUUUGCAUUUUAUCAUGACACGACAUGCCUUGUCUUGUUCUUUUGCUCUGGUUAAAUCUGAUGGAGUUCCACUUGAACCUGCCCCUCCAAAACACAAGACGUUUUGUCAAAUAAACAUUGAAAAGAAUUUAAAAGGAAAAAAAAGGAAUUGAAGAAUGGAUAAAAAUGUGAAACUAAAUAUGAUAUAUUUAACUACUGAUAACCCGUACCUAAUUAGAUGUUUCUUCACCACUGUCAUCAUCAUCAACCUAAUAAGAUUUUAGGGAUAUGCUUGAUCUUGGGCCAAUCUUUUCCUGUUCCCCUUAUGCACCUUUCGCUCAACCUUGGACAAUCAAUAAUCUCAAGAUUUUGAAGUUUUUUUAAAUUGCUGAUGCACUCCGGCAUUUCUUCAAUGUUUGGACAGCCUUCGAUGAUAAAUGUUUGUAAGGAUUCUGCAGAUCCUUUAAGAAGCUGUUCUGGUAAAGCAAUAGUUGCUGGUACCGCCAUAAAUAGUAUAAUACGAAGAGAAAAGAAAAGAGGUUGAAUUUUUUUCUCUUUCUCUUCUACUAUUGUCAUCAAAUCAAGCUUUUUACAAUUACUAAUAAAUAAUUCUUCCAGAGUAGUUAGGCAUUUUAUGCUUCUUGGCAGAGAAAUCAAGCUAUCACACAGUGGCGGAGCCAGGGUUUUUUCAAUGAGAGGGCAAAUUAUUAACAAAUAUUAUAUUAUAUAGAUAUGCAUUAGAAAUCAAUUCAAAACAUACAUACUAAUUCUUAUCAAGUAAAAUUAAUUUAAAAAUUUACUUACAGGAGAGACAGGAAUAAGAACUCAUAAAAAAAUUAAAAUGGCAUAGCAGCUCAUGAAAAUAACAAAACGAUAAAGGUAAGGAACGCAAAACACUUUUUGUUAGUCAGGGGACUCUAUAUUUUUAAGCCGUGUCCCAUUGAUUUGAUAUAGAAACAAAAGUAAAAAAGAGAAAAAUUUGGGGAAUGAGCUGUGUGUAUAUAUAUAUUAUAUUAUAUUAUAUUAACAUAUAAGUGACAAAUAAUAAAUAAUAACAACCUUCCUUCUUCAACAAUUCACUAACCUAAUAUAUUAAUAUUUUAAUAAAAAGAAAAAAAAAAGUUAAGGGGGCAAUUGCCCCCUUUUGUUCCUAUGUGGCUACGCCACUGCUAUCACAUCCACUAAUAACCAAUUUUCGAAGACUUUUAAGACCUUGCAUAUCUUCGCACAAAUUCUCUGGCAACCGCUUCUGCUGAGUACAUAGAAAUAAAAAUCUAAGGCUGAUCAUGUGCCUCACAUCUUUGGGCAGCUCUUCUAAUCCUUCACCUGUAACCAGAGCUUGCAAGUUUUGCAAUUUGAAAAUAGAUUUUGGGAGUCUUUUUAUUGUUGUGUUGUUCAAAAAAUAGAGAUAUCUCAAAUGUUUCAAGGCGCCAAUCCUCUCCGGAAAAGCCUCAAAUUCAGAAUCAUCCAUUAAUUCCAAAGAACGCAAAUGCUUAAAUUCUAACAAACAUUUCUCAAAGUCUGUUGUGCAUGUAGGCCCCACUAUACUAUCUGCAAAGACUAUUGACCGCACUUGAUGGAAGUUGUUUGGGAACUUGGGGAGAGUUUUAUGAAAAAAUGAAUCAGAGUCAAGAACUGUCAAAUGACGGGUCGUUUUGGAAAUUUGGUGGUUUUGAGAGCUUAUGAUUGAAAACUCAUUUUGAGCCAAUGAUGAUGCAAGAUCAUGCAUUAAAUCAUGCAUCUUAAAGACAGCUGCAUAAUUCAAAUCCACAUAAUCUUGGAAGAAACAUCUUGAGAUCAACUCGCGCACAUAACGCAAGCCAACUUCUUCCAAUUUCUCAUUUGGAUUUGAUGAUUGAAGAAUGAGCCCUUGUGCCAUCCAAAAUUGCACCAAUGAGAGAUCUACGAAUUGGUAAUCUUUUGGAAAAACAGAACAAUAAAGAAAGCAUCUUUUCAAGUGAGCCGGCAGUCUUUGAUAGCUUAUUUUCAAGGCAGGUAAAAUACCAUCUCCCUCUUCUUCCCACUUCCCACUAUCUCUCACCGAUUUCCACUCUUUUUCAUCAGUCUUACCAUACAGUUGAGUCCCCAAGUUAAUCACUGCCAGAGGAACUUGCUUGCAUUUUGCCACUAUUUCUUUCCCAAUUCCAACCAAAUUUGGAUUCAACUCCACUUGUAAAACAACGACAGACAGUCCUCCUGACCAAGAAGACUUAGGUCGUACGCAGGAACAGUAUCCAUAAUCUCAGCAACACGUUGACUACGGGUAGUUACUAUAAUCUUACUUCCAUCAGCACCUUUUGAUAACGAAGGUUUCAACAACAACCAUUUUUGAGCAUCUUCAUUCCAUACAUCAUCCAAA